CAUUUUAUUUUUGUAACAUUUCAAAUAUGUAACAUUCAAAUCUAACCUUAGGCAAACAUUGAUAGAAAAAAUUCAUUUCAAUCAUCAUAAUAUUAAUUUUAAAAUAUCAUUUAAUCAAAAGUUAC
rnacentral:miRNA from 1 species